CCGGCCCGAGACGCGCCUCCCGGAGGCUUUGGCUGCCCCAAACCCGGCCCCUUCGGCCACGGGGAGCCCGGGCCUCGAGAAACCGACCAGCUGCCGUCGCCGAGGGGCCAUGACCGCCAACUUACAAUGUGUGAUUAAGAACGAUUGCGAUUGGGGCGCCUGGGUGGCUCAGUGGUUGGGCGUCUGCCUUCGGCUCAGGCAGUAUGUACGUCUUCACAGUGCUCGGUGCUUCUGAGAGAUGGAUGAACAAUUCCAG